AUUGAACGCUGGCGGCAGGCCUAACACAUGCAAGUCGAACGAGUGGCGGACGGGUGAGUAAUGUCUGGGAAACUGCCUGAUGGAGGGGGAUAACUACUGGAAACGGUAGCUAAUACCGCAUACCAUCAGAUGUGCCCAGAUGGGAUUAGCUGGUUGGUGGGGUAACGGCUCACCAAGGCGACGAUCCCUAGCUGGUCUGAGAGGAUGACCAGCCACACGGGAACUGAGACACGGUCCAGAUCCCUACGGAAGGAAGCAGUGGGGAAUAUUGCACAAUGGGCGAAAGCCUGAUGAAGACCUGCCGCGUGUAUGAAGAAGGCCUUCGGGUUGUAAAGUACUUUCAGAGGGGAGGCGUUACCCACAGAAGAAGCACCGGCUAACUCCGUGCCAGCCGCCGCGGUAAUUC
rnacentral:rRNA from 1 species